UUAUAUGAUCACUGAAAAAGUGAAAUAUGCAAAAAGCAAUGCAUCAAACAGUACUGCAUCUGCUGAGACUGUGAAAUCUGCUGGGCACUUUGCUAUUCCAUAAAGCCACAGGAUCUGAGGAUUCAAUCGUAAAUUAAAUUAAUAAUUGCAAGUAAACAAUACAAAGUAUUAUUUGUUUGACAAUAAAUUGUCAGCAUAAUUGUUGGAUUAAAGGACAAAGGCAACAUGCUGGAUGUAGUGUCUGGGAAUGCAUCCAUACGACACCUGAAGGGAGAACAGCUUUAUUAACAGACAGAAGUUCUUCAGUGAAUACAGUAGGCAAUUUCAUUGCAUGUUCAGUAUCUGCAUCAGGGUUUCUGCAGGUUUUAUGAAGGUCUAAGGAAUAAAUUGAAGGGAACCCAAUAUGUAAUCUAAAUAUAAAUGUUUAGGAAGCACAUAAUGAGUUGUAUUUGAGUUGUGUACGAGUGGUUGUGUCGUAGCAAAACUUCAAAGUUUUAACAUUUUAAUUAUUUUUCCAAAAAAAAAAAAAAAA